GCAAGCAGUGCUGUGUGGGCUUUGCUUGUAAGCGGAGUGAAUCCAAUGUUUUGGUGUUUCCGAAUCUUAUUUGUGUCUGUUUUGUGUGUACUGACAAGUGAAUGUGCAUGAGACUUGCGGGUAGCCUAAUAUUUUAAUUUUCCAGGCACUAAGAAGACAAAGACCACAUCAUUUCAGUUUCAGUAUCGGCCCUCUAUGGACGGUCUACAUGGACAUGUGCCCUAGCUCUCAGUAGGACCCCUUCUGAUCACGGUGCACGGAUCUCAGGAAGUGAUGUGAAGGACUACACUAUCAGACACCGAACGAGCC